AACGAACGCUGGCGGCGGGCCUCAUACAUGCAAGUCGAGCGCGAAAGUCCGCAAGGAUGAGUAAAGCGGCGCACGGGUGAGUAACACGUGGGUAAUCUACCUUUUGGAUUGGAAUAACCUGUCGAAAGACGGGCUAAUGCCGAGUGAGCAAACGAGUUCGUGAAGUUCUUGUUCGGAAAGAUGGCGCAAGCUAUCGCCGAUUGAUGAGCCUGCGUCCCAUUAGUUAGUUGGUGAGGUAAUGGCUUACCAAGACAAUGAUGGGUACCUGGUCUGAGAGGAUGAUCAGGCACACUGGAACUGAAACACGGUCCAGACUCCUACGGGGAGGCAGCAGUAGGGAAUAUUGCGCAAUGGACGAAAGUCUGANGCAGCCACGCCGCGUGAGUGAAGAAGGCCCUCGGGUUGUAAAGCUCUGUCAACUGGGAAAAACUGGCUAGAAGGGGAAAGUUUCUUCUAG
rnacentral:rRNA from 1 species